rnacentral:rRNA from 1 species
AAAGUCUGACCUGCCCUAUGAAUUAUUUUAAAUGGCCGCGGUAUUUUGACCGUGCAAAGGUAGCAUAAUAAUUAGUUUUUUAAUUGGGAACUGGUAUGAAUGGUCGAACGAGAAAAAAUCUGUCUCAAUUUAAUUUAAAUUAGAAUUUUAUUUUUAAGUUAAAAAGCUUAAAUAAUCUUAAAAGACGAGAAGACCCUAUAGAGUUUUAUAUAAUUUAUUAUCUUUAAAUAUUAAAGUAUUAAAAAUUUAUUGAUUAUAAUUUAUAUUUGAUUGGGGCAAUUGAAAAAUUUAAUAAACUUUUUUUAAAAAAUUAAACAUUAAUUUAUGAUUUGUUGAUCCA